rnacentral:rRNA from 1 species
AGAGUUUGAUCAUGGCUCAGGACGAACGCUGGCGGCGUGCCUAAUACAUGCAAGUCGAGCGAACCGAAGGGAGCUUGCUCCUUUAGGUUAGCGGCGGACGGGUGAGUAACACGUGGGCAACCUGCCCUGCAGACUGGGAUAACUUCGGGAAACCGGAGCUAAUACCGGAUAACACUGAAAACCGCAUGGUUUUCGGUUGAAAGGCGGCUUUUAGCUGUCACUGCAGGAUGGGCCCGCGGCGCAUUAGCUAGUUGGUGAGGUAACGGCUCACCAAGGCGACGAUGCGUAGCCGACCUGAGAGGGUGACCGGCCACACUGGGACUGAGACACGGCCCAGACUCCUACGGGAGGCAGCAGUAGGGAAUCUUCCGCAAUGGACGAAAGUCUGACGGAGCAACGCCGCGUGAGCGAAGAAGGUCUUCGGAUCGUAAAGCUCUGUUGUCAGGGAAGAACAAGUACCGUUCG